UUUUUCUCCGUCUGGUGAACCAGCGGAGGGAUCAUUA
rnacentral:rRNA from 1 species